CUCAGGUGAUCCGCCCGCCUUGGCCUCCCAGUGUUGGGAUUACAGGCGUGAGCCAUCACGCCCGGCCGAUGCUUAUAUUUCAUAUUGAAGGGACACACCUCAACACAUUUACUUUUGGAAACUGUUAAGCAGAUAGAGGGAACGCUGAAAAAAUUUCUACCAGAGAUAUACCAAGAGCUCCGGACCAGCCAGAGCCACCUACUCGGAUCAUGUUGGCAGAACCCAGUACUGUUUCGAGGCCAGAUGCACCAUUUCAGCAAUUCAGGAGGAAAUAAGCAGUGUGGAUAAACUGAUACCCAUUUUUGAAAGUCGGCCUGGGUUCGCAUUCAGAAGAAAUGUCGACGCUAGCCAUUUUUUUUUUAAAAUGGGUGAUUUGAUAACUCAGGGAAGUCUUGCCACUGUAAUUUUUAAAAGUUUGCUUGCUAGAACCAGGUACUUUCUAAGAAGUGUAUGGAAAAAGCCUUGA
rnacentral:lncRNA from 1 species